ACGGGUGAGUAACACGUGAAUCAUCUACCUCCGAGUGGGGAAUAACUGAGAGAAAUCUUAGCUAAUACCGCAUAACACUUACGAGUCAAAGCAGCAAUGCGCUUGGAGAGGAGUUCGCGGCCGAUUAGUUAGUUGGCGGGGUAAUGGCCCACCAAGACGAUGAUCGGUAUCCGGCCUGAGAGGGCGCACGGACACACUGGAACUGAAACACGGUCCAGACUCCUACGGGAGGCAGCAGUGGGGAAUUUUGCGCAAUGGGGGAAACCCUGACGCAGCAACGCCGCGUGGAGGAUGAAAUAUCUUGGUAUGUAAACUCCUUUCGAUGGGGAAGAUCAUGACGGUACCCAUAGAAGAAGCCCCGGCUAACUUCGUGCCAGCAGCCGCGG
rnacentral:rRNA from 1 species